CCUACGGGGGGCUGCAGUAGGGAAUAUUGCUCAAUGGGGGAAACCCUGAAGCGGCAACGCCGCGUGGAGGAUGAAGGUUUUCGGAUUGUAAAGUCCUUUUGUUAGAGAAGAUAAUGACGGUAUCUAACGAAUAAGAACCGGCUAACUCCGUGUCAGCAGCCGCGGUAAUACGGAGGGUGCAAGCGUUACUCGGAAUCACUGGGCGUAAAGAGCGCUUAGGCGGGAUUGCAAGUCAGGUGUGAAAUCCUAUGGCUUAACCAUAGAACUGCAUUUGAAACUGUUAUUCUAGAGUAUGGGAGAGGUAGGUGGAAUUCUUUGUGUAGGGGUAAAAUCCGUAGAGAUCAAGAAGAAUACUCAUGGCGAAGGCGACCUGCUAGGUCAUAACUGACGCUGAUGCGCGAAAGCGUGGGGAGCAAACAGGAUUAGAUACCCGAGUAGUC
rnacentral:rRNA from 1 species